GACGAACGCUGGCGGCGUGCUUAACACAUGCAAGUCGAACGGAAAGGCCUGCUUUCCCUUGUGGAUUGCGGGUGCUCGAGUGGCGAACGGGUGAGUAACACGUGAGUGAUCUGCCCCCAACUUGGGUAUAAGCCUGGGAAACUGGGUCUAAUUCCCGAUAGGACUGCAGGGUGGUGCCUGUGGUGGAAAACGAUUUUCUAGUGGUUGGGGAUGAGCUCGCGGCCUAUCAGCUUGUUGGUGGGGUAAUGGCCUACCAAGGCGGCGACGGGUAGCCGGCCUGGGAGGGUGGACGGCCACAUUGGGACUGAGAUACGGCCCAGACUCCUACGGGAGGCAGCAGUGGGGAAUAUUGCACAAUGGGUGGAAGCCUGAUGCAGCGACGCCGCGUGGGGGAUGACGGCCUUCGGGUUGUAAACUCCUUUCGACCGCGAGGAAGCCACCUGGUUGGAAGGGUGGUGACGGUAGUGGUAGAAGAAGCACCGGCUAACUACGUG
rnacentral:rRNA from 1 species